rnacentral:ncRNA from 16 species
CUCUUAUUCAGAGUGGUGGAGGUACAAAGGACCUGCGAAGCCACGGCAACCCCGGUAAGCCGGAAGGUGCCAACCUGAGCGAGCAAUCGAACAAUAAGAG